GGGCAGGUUGCGGCGUGCUAAUACAUGCAAGUCGAGCGGAUCGAUGGGAGCUUGCUCCCUGAGAUCAGCGGCGGACGGGUGAGUAACACGUGGGUAACCUGCCUGUAAGACUGGGAUAACUCCGGGAAACCGGGGCUAAUACCGGAUAACACCUACCCCCGCAUGGGGGAAGGUUGAAAGGUGGCUUCGGCUAUCACUUACAGAUGGACCCGCGGCGCAUUAGCUAGUUGGUGAGGUAAUGGCUCACCAAGGCGACGAUGCGUAGCCGACCUGAGAGGGUGAUCGGCCACACUGGGACUGAGACACGGCCCAGACUCCUACGGGAGGCAGCAGUAGGGAAUCUUCCGCAAUGGACGAAAGUCUGACGGAGCAACGCCGCGUGAGUGAAGAAGGUUUUCGGAUCGUAAAACUCUGUUGUUAGGGAAGAACAAGUGCCGUUCGAAUAGGGCGGCGCCUUGACGGUACCUAACCAGAAAGCCACGGCUAACUACGUGCCAGCAGCCGCGGUAAU
rnacentral:rRNA from 1 species